rnacentral:rRNA from 1 species
CAGUAGCCGCGGUAAUACGGAGGGUGCAAGCGUUAAUCGGAAUUACUGGGCGUAAAGCGCACGCAGGCGGUCUGACAAGUCAGAUGUGAAAUCCCCGGGCUUAACCUGGGAACUGCAUUUGAAACUGUCAGGCUGGAGUCUUGUAGAGGGGGGUGGAAUUCCAGGUGUAGCGGUGAAAUGCGUAGAGAUCUGGAGGAAUACCGGUGGCGAAGGCGGCCCCCUGGACAAAGACUGACGCUCAGGUGCGAAAGCGUGGGGAGCAAACAGGAUUAGAUACCCGUGUAGUCCCUGUCUUCUUAUA